CCCCUAGAUGUUCUGGGCCGCACGCGCGCUACACUGAACAGUUCAACAAGUCUUAACCUUGGCCGAUAGGUCUGGGUAAUCUUUGAACGCUGUUCGUGAUUGGGAUAGACCUUUGCAAUUAUGGGUCUUCAACGAGGAAUUCCUAGUAAACGCAAGUCAUCAGCUUGCAUUGAUUACGUCCCUGCCCUUUGUACACACCCCCCGUCGCACCUACCGAUUGAAUGGUCCGGUGAAAUCUCGGGACGGCGGCUUGGUCGCUUGCGUCCGACUGCUGAAACUUGAUUAAACCAUAUCAUUUAGAGGAAGGUGAAGUCGUAACA
rnacentral:rRNA from 1 species